ACAGGAAGGCUUAGGAUAUAUGAAUCUAGUACAAAAGCUUGGCAGUUUUGCAGUGAAAAGCCACAAAAGAGAUGAUGUGUUCCUCCUUUCACUAGCAGAACCAGUCUUGGUUGGAUCCAUGUCAUGAUUCUUGAAACUGAAUAAUAAGGUCUGGCGAGCACAAAGUUCUGGCACGCCAUGAUAGUGUGUGUGUGAGAGAGAGAAAGAGGA
rnacentral:misc_RNA from 1 species